rnacentral:rRNA from 1 species
GACGAACGCUGGCGGCGUGCUUAACACAUGCAAGUCGAGCGGUAAGGCCCUUCGGGGUACACGAGCGGCGAACGGGUGAGUAACACGUGGGUGACCUGCCUUUAGCUCUGGGAUAAGCCUGGGAAACUGGGUCUAAUACCGGAUAUGACCUCAUGACGCAUGUUGUGGGGUGGAAAGCCUUGUGCGGCUAGAGAUGGGCCCGCGGCCUAUCAACUUGUUGGUGGGGUGANGGCCUACCAAGGCGACGACGGGUAGCCGGCCUGAGAGGGCGACCGGCCACACUGGGACUGAGACACGGCCCAGACUCCUACGGGAGGCAGCAGUGGGAAAUCUUGCGCAAUGGGACGAAAGCCUGACGCAGCGACGCCGCGUGAGGGAUGAC